GUUGGCGGCGUGGAUUAGGCAUGCAAGUCGAGCGAGAAGUUUACUUCGGUAAAUGGACAGCGGCGAAAGGGACAGUAAUGUGUAGGUACCUACCCCCCGAUCUGGGAUAGCUGCGGGAAACUGCAGGUAAUACCGGAUAAUGUCUUCGGACCAAAGGUGUGAUUCCGUCAGGGGAGGGGCCUGCAUCCUAUUAGCUUGUUGGCGAGGUAAUGGCUCACCAAGGCAACGAUGGGUAGCGGGUGUGAGAGCAUGACCCGCGUCAUUGGGACUGAGACACUGCCCAGACAUCUACGGAUGGCUGCAGUCGAGAAUCUUCGGCAAUGGGCGAAAGCCUGACCGAGCGACGCCGCGUGCGGGAUGAAGGCCCUCGGGUUGUAAACCGCUGUCGUUGGGGAGGAAAUGCAAAAGGGUUAUCCCUUCUGUUUGACCGAUCCAAGGAGGAAGUACGGGCUAAGUUCGUGCCAGCAGCCGCGGUAAGACGAACCGUACGAACGUUAUUCGGAAUUACUGGGCUUAAAGGGUGCGUAGGCUGCACGGAAAGUUGGGUGUGAAAGCCCUCAGCUCAACUGAGGAAUUGCAUCCAAAACUGCCGUGCUAGAGGGAGACAGAGGUGAGCGGAACUCAAGGUGGAGCGGUGAAAUGCGUUGAUAUCUUGAGGAACACCGGUGGCGAAAGCGGCUCACUGGGUCUCUUCUGACGCUGAGGCACGAAAGCUAAGGUAGCAAACGGGAUUAGAUACCCCGGUAGUCUUAGCUGUAAACGAUGAGCACUUGAUUGGAGGGUCCUCCAUAGCCUUCCAGUCGUAGCGAAAGUGUUAAGUGCUCCGCCUGGGGAG
rnacentral:rRNA from 1 species